rnacentral:tRNA from 1 species
AAAAAAGUAAGCUAAUUCAAGCUAAUGGGCUCAUACCCCAUUUAUGAGAAUUUACUUCUCCUUUUUUU